rfam:Camelus ferus unplaced genomic scaffold scaffold477, whole genome shotgun sequence.
GAGGGUAUAGCUCAAGUGGUAGAGUGCAUGCCUAGCAUACACAAGAUCCUGGGUUCAAUUCCCAGUACCUCCU